rnacentral:rRNA from 1 species
AUUGAACGCUGGCGGCAGGCCUAAAACAUGCAAGUCGAGCGAGCGGCGGAAGGGUGAGUAAUGCCUGGGAAUUGCACAGUCGAGGGGGAUAAAAGGUGGAAACGACUGCUAAUACCGCAUACGAUGGGAUAGCCGAGGUGGGAUUAGCUAGGUGGUGAGGUAAUGGCUCACCAAGGCGAAGAUCCCUAGCUGGUCUGAGAGGAUGAUCAGCCACACUUGAACUGAGACACGGUCCAUACUCCUACGGGAGGCAGCAGUGGGGAAUAUUGCACAAUGGGGGAACCCCUGAUGCAGCCAUGCCGCGUGUGUGAAGAAGGCCUUCGGGUUGUAAAGCACUUUCAGCGAGGAGGCGUUACUCGCAGAAGAAGCCCCGGCUCACUCCGUGCCAGCAGCCGCGGUAAUAC